rnacentral:rRNA from 1 species
CUACGUGCCAGCAGCCGCGGUAAUACGGAAGGUUCAGGCGUUAUCCGGAUUUAUUGGGUUUAAAGGGAGCGUAGGCGGACGAUUAAGUCAGCUGUGAAAGUUUGCGGCUCAACCGUAAAAUUGCAGUUGAAACUGGUUGUCUUGAGUGCACGCAGGGAUGUUGGAAUUCAUGGUGUAGCGGUGAAAUGCUUAGAUAUCAUGAAGAACUCCGAUCGCGAAGGCAUAUGUCUGGAGUGUAACUGACGCUGAGGCUCGAAAGUGCGGGUAUCGAACAGGAUUAGAUACCCUGGUAGUCCGCACAGUAAACGAUGAAUACUCGCAGUAUGCGACAUAAUGUAUGCUGCCAAGUGAAAACGUUAAGUAUUCCACCUGGGGAGUACGCCGGCAACGGUGAAACUCAAAGGAAUUGACGGGGGCCCGCACAAGCGGAGGAACAUGUGGUUUAAUUCGAUGAUACGCGAGGAACCUUACCCGGGCU